UAUUGGACAAUGGGCGCAAGCCUGAUCCAGCCAUGCCGCGUGAGUGAUGAAGGCCUUCCGGCUGUAAAGCUCUUUUGGCGGGGACGAUGAUGACGGUACCCGCAGAAUAAGCCCCGGCUAACUUCGUGCCAGCAGCCGCGGUAAGACGAAGGGGGCUAGCGUUGUUCGGAAUUACUGGGCGUAAAGCGAGUGUAGGUGGUUGUCCAAGUUGGAUGUGAAAGCCUUGAGCUCAACUCAAGAAAUGCAUUCAGGACUGGAUGGCUAGAGGACCGGAGAGGAUAGUGGAAUUCCCAGUGUAGUGGUGAAAUACGUAGAGAUUGGGAAGAACACCAGUGGCGAAGGCGGCUAUCUGGACGGUUUCGACACUAAGACCGAAA
rnacentral:rRNA from 1 species